AGAGCGAACGCUGGCGGCAGGCUUAACACAUGCAAGUCGAACGGACCCUUCGGGGUUAGUGGCGGACGGGUGAGUAACACGUGGGAACGUGCCUUUUGGUUCGGAACAACACAGGGAAACUUGUGCUAAUACCGGAUGUGCCCUUCGGGGGAAAGAUUUAUCGCCAUUAGAGCGGCCCGCGUCUGAUUAGCUAGUUGGUGGGGUAAAGGCCUACCAAGGCUACGAUCAGUAGCUGGUCUGAGAGGAUGACCAGCCACAUUGGGACUGAGACACGGCCCAAACUCCUACGGGAGGCAGCAGUGGGGAAUCUUGCGCAAUGGGCGAAAGCCUGACGCAGCCAUGCCGCGUGAAUGAUGAAGGUCUUAGGAUUGUAAAAUUCUUUCACCGGGGACAUAAUGACGGUACCCGGAGAAGAAGCCCCGGCUAACUUCGUGCCAGCAGCCGC
rnacentral:rRNA from 1 species